AUUUAUGUUCCAAUUACUUUUUUAACUUGGCGUGGACGUGUCCAUGCCAUUGUAUAUUUGUGUUCGAAUGACUUUUUUAACUUGGCGUGGACGCGUCCAUGCCAAUACGAGUCCACGCCAAGUUAAGAAAGUAAUUGGAACAUAAAUA